rnacentral:rRNA from 1 species
GAGUGUAGCGGUGAAAUGCGUAGAUAUUCGGAGGAACACCAAUUGCGAAGGCAGCUCACUGGGCCGCUAUCGACGCUGAGGAGCGAAAGCUAGGGGAGCAAACAGGAUUAGAUACCCUGGUAGUCCUAGCUGUAAACGAUGGAUACUAGACGUAGGAAUUGGAUUAACGAUUUCUGUGUCGUAGCUAACGCGUUAAGUAUCCCGCCUGGGGAGUACGGUCGCAAGACUAAAACUCAAAGGAAUUGACGGGACCCCGCACAAGCGGCGGAGCAUGCGGCUUAAUUCGAUGAUACCCGUAGAACCUUACCUGGACUUGACAUAUAGGGAAAAGUUAUAGAAAUAUAAUGUGCAUUAGCGCCCUAUACAGGUGGUGCAUGGCUGUCGUCAGCUCGUGUCGUGAGAUGUUGGGUUAAGUCCCGCAACGAGCGCAAAACCUGUCCUAUGUUGCCAGCAAGUAAUGUUGGGGACUCAUAGGAGACUGCCGGUGAUAAACCGGAGGAAGGUGGGGACGACGUCAAGUCAUCAUGCCCCUUAUGUCCAGGGCUGCACGCAUGCUACAAUGGCAAGUACAACGAGUCGCAAUACCGCGAGGUGGAGCAAAUCUCUUAAAGCUUGUCUCAGUUCGGAUAGGAGUCUGCAACUCGACUCCUUGAAGUUGGAGUCGCUAGUAAUCGCAAAUCAGCAAAGUUGCGGUGAAUACGUUCUCGGGGUUUGUACACACCGCCCGUCAAGUCACGGAAGUCGGCAAUACCCGAAGCCAGUGGUCCAACCCUUUUGGGAGGAAGCUGUCGAAGGUAGGGUCGGUAACUGGGACUAAGUCGUAACAAGGUAACCGUA